rnacentral:lncRNA from 1 species
CUUAUGGCACAUGAGGACUGUACUGAGGUUUAUGUUCUGUAAUUCAGUUUCAGACCAAGAAAUAGACAGCAAAGCCCAGAGCAAAUAAUACAUUUUCACAAUCUUUUGAAAUACUGAGUUUUUCAGUAAUGCACGUGUUCAUGGAUUUUGGCCAGAGUGACGCUAAUAGUAUUAUUAGCUAAUAGCUAAUAGUAUUAGUAAUACCCUAAUAGUAUUUAGGGUGUUUUCGCAGAUAACACAGAGGUCAGCGCGCACCCCAAAUUUUGGAGCAUGCUCUUCGAAGGCACCAUGAUAGACCAGUAGAAAAUCGGGUCAAGUAAAGUGUUGGAGGGCCUUGCUAAUGUACGGUGAAGCUUCAGGCCGAACUGAAGAUUUUGGAUUUUGGAGAGAUUUUGGAUUUUGGAGAGGAGUAUUCUUGUCUUGAAGGCAAAUAAGGUGGAUUUUUCUGAAGAGCUAGGCAGUGGAAUGCGAUAUUUUACGUGAUUCUAGGAAAGCUUCUAGACGGAUAACCGCAGUAGCCCAGCGGACUAGUAUAGUGGUUGCUGGACUGUGGGUGGCGUGUGUAUGUGUUUGCAUUUUUUGUUUCCUGGCUCUAGUUGAAAUUAAUUUUCCGCGUUGCCAAAACAAACAUCCCCAAACAAGCAGCCUAAUUAAAAAGGCAGAAGUCCCC